GGCUGGAUGGUGUAUAGGUAACACCUCUGCGUUGAAUUUUCGAUCCCUUGAACCCGGAGUUGUAUCUUCCGCAGAUGAGCCCUGUUCGAAUCGGGGUCCAGCCA